ACACACCACACGCAGCCACAGGAUUACACAACACCAUCCCGAAGCUGCAGGGAACACCCUGUACAGGCGAGGCCCAGCCCCUCGGUCUGCAGAAGACAAAUAGGAAGGAGGAAGGGACCCGGGCGCUGCAACGGGCGGAUCCCAUCGCAGGCCGACCCCCGUCACUCGUCACCCGUCACUCGAGGACCGGCCACCUCCCUCAGCCCCAGCGGCCGCCUCCGCAGAAUGGGCACAAGCGGCCCACGGGGUGUGGCACAGGCUCCGUGUACCCCGAGACCCCCAGGUCUCAUCAGACCCCGUCAGGAUGCGGCGGUUGGUGGGACGAGACGAGAAGGAUGAGGGCUCGCGGCAUGGAUUUCGCUGGGCUCCCGCUUGGGAUAAGCAGCCGGCAGAGAACGGGCUGUUUUAAUCUUUCCUUUCAUGUCCGGCCAGGAAUACGGCUCCUCGGAGCAGAGGGCUGCGUCCAGGCUCCUCAGCAGGGCUCGGGGGCCAGCUGUCCCAGAAUGACUCUGGCCUUGGCUGGCGAAAGUCUCUGCCAGGAGAAAUGGUGAAAGUGGCAUAUAAACAAGGAGACUUCCCGCAAACACAGGCCUGAGCUACCAGAUCCUCGAGUUGCUCUGCCUGCCUCCCUGGCCUCUGAAGCCGCCGGGAGGGAAGGCCGGGACCUGGGGGCCUGUUCCGACGGCACCCUCCUCACGGAGGCCACAGGGGACACGCGGGACGGAGCCACCCCUGUGACACGCCCUGCAAGCCACGUGUCUCUCUGUGAGACGGGGACUUCCCCAACGGCACCUAUCUCUUAGGUCCCAGCCCUGUUCACGCCAAGGACAAUGGAAGUGCAGAGGAAUUCUGGAGCCAGAACGGCCGGCCUACGACCCCCAGCGCUGGCCUGGUCGCUGGGUGACACGGGGCACACACAGUUGUCUCAGGUGUCAGUGCCACGCACACCUUUGGCUUUGCUGUCUGGUCGAGAAGAGCCCAAGCCGACAACAAAAGCAGGUGGACAAAGGAGGAAUCACAGAGCGGGGUGCCGACCACUCGCCCGUCUCGCGUGGCGGGGAGCAGAGAUCGGCUACAAAACCUUAAAACCUAACGGCUCGUCUGCGUAAUGGUUUGUAAGGUCAGAGACGGAGCAUGAGUGGGGAAGGGGCAGAGAGAGAGAGAGGGAGACACAGAAUCGGAAACAGGCUCCAGGCUCCGAGCUGUCAGCACAGAACCCGACGCGGGGCUUGAACUCACGGACCACGAGAUCAUGACCUGAGCCGAAGUCAGAUGCUCAACCGACUGAGCCACCCAGGCGCCCCUG